ACGUAAAAAGGAUUCAUUGAGAAGGCGUUUUGAGUAAUGGACUCUGCAAAGAAGUUUAGGGUUUUAUGUCCUCCCAAGAUAUAUAAUGGCUCGACGUGGAAACUGAUCAAACAGAGGGAUUAAACAGAGCAGAUCGAUGAUGGAUGGUUCUACGUGCCAGAGACGAAUUGAAAUAAAUAAAAAGUGGCUUGCGUCUCGACCAUCACAUCUAUCAGGUCGUGUUUCCCACUCAAAUGACGAAGCCUCCUCUAUUUUUAAAAGCAACAGCUACG